rnacentral:tRNA from 5 species
GGAGAGGUGACCGAGCGGCUGAAGGUGCACGACUGGAAAUCGUGUGUACCGGGAACGGUACCGUGGGUUCAAAUCCCACCCUCUCCGCCA